rfam:Firmicutes bacterium CAG:95 genomic scaffold, scf154
AAUCUUUGAGGUGAAAAAUGCGUCGUCAUGCGCCGCAUGCAAAUUGCAAUGGGCAAAAGAGAUGUUGGGAGUGACGCUCCAACCAAAGAUU